GACGAACGCUGGCGGCGUGCUUAACACAUGCAAGUCGAACGGAAAGGCCCUGCUUUUGUGGGGUGCUCGAUUGGCGAACGGGUGAGUAACACGUGAGUAACCUGCCCUUGACUUUGGGAUAACUUCAGGAAACUGGGGCUAAUACCGGUUAGGAUCUCCUGCUGCAUGGUGGUGGUUGGAAAGUUUCGGCGGUUGGGGAUGGACUCGCGGCUUAUCAGCUUGUUUGUGGGGUAGUGGCUUACGAAGGCUUUGACGGGUAGCCGGCCUGAGAGGGUGACCGGCCACAUUGGGACUGCGAUACGGCCCAGACGCCUACGGGAGGCAGCAGUGGGGAAUAUUGCACAAUGGGCGGAAGCCUGAUGCAGCAACGCCGCGUGCGGGAUGACGGCCUUCGGGUUGUAAACCGCUUUCGCCUGUGACGAAGCGUGAGUGACGGUAAUGGGUAAAGAAGCACCGGCUAACUACGUG
rnacentral:rRNA from 1 species